GGGAGAGAGACAGGACCCUAGCUGCACCGGCGGCGCGCGCGCCGAGGGCGGGAAUGGUGUCGGUUGACGGUUAACGGUUAACGGUUAAAGGAGGAGGACAGCCCGGCGCCGCCAUUUCCCCAUUAAUGUCAGCGGCUUGAAAGACGGAGAUGGGGGCGGGAUGGCUUUUUUUCCUCCCCACGCCUUCGGGGUUUUUCCAUCUCUGAGGGAAUGGGUUUCCGGCAGGCGCCGCCCAGGCCGGAAGCGGAACGUUGCAGGUGUUGCAAUUGAGAGUAUUCCUCCAAACCCCUCAUCAUUGAUCUUCCAUCAACAGGACUCAUUCUCUCGAUUUCACAGUUUGUGUUCUUCGUUUCAUUAAGGUUGAAGGCAGUCUCUAUCUAUGAAGGAUGCAUUGAGAUAUUAGUGAAUGAACUUUAAGAUGAAGACCCGGAGAAGCAACCAAUGAGCUGCAGCCAGGGAUUUUGCAGUCGUAUUUAUUGCCAGAAUAUUUGAUGUGUGAACAUGGAUGUCAGUACUCAAGAAAUACUUGAUGAAAUCAGGACCUCUCAGGAGCAAGGUGAUGAUGGAAACUUGUUUUACUUGUAUGUGGCGACCCCUGGUGGAGCUCCAAAAGACAUCCAUAAAAAAUUGGUAAAGCCUUUUCUGCAGGAGCGUGGAUGGCAGAAAGUCAGCUAUCCAAACACUGGAUUCAGGGCAUUAUACUUUUGCCACAAAAAGUCAGACGGACUGGAGAAAGCAGAAGCUGUGAGAGACCGAGCGGAGCUGAAAAACAAACUGGAUGAAUAUAAAGAACUGAAUAAGGUUGACUUCAAAAUCCACAUGGUGCUAUCCGUACCUGUAAAUUACAACGAAGAUUUUGUCGAAUUGACUUCUCAGCCUGGAUCUAUUGAAUGGUGAAAGUAAAGUUGUGCAAUAAUGGGUUCACAGGCAAUUCAGCUUUGUCUGUCUGCAAUGGAUAUAUAUAGCCUCAAGUAAAUAUUGAACUUAGUAGCAUGUUCUGACUUUUUGCAAUGAAUGUUAAUAAUCAGGGCAUGAUUUAUUUGGAUUAAAUUAUGUCAACAAAGUAAAAAUUGAAAACAAACUGUGCACUUUUAAAACUGUACUUAUCCCUUUUAUGCCUCCCAUGUAUUCUAUCAGCCAAAAAAAAAUCUGUAUUGUAGACAGGCCCUUAGUCAUAAUCAGUGCUACUCUGAAUGAAUUCUAGGUGACAUGCUCUGCAGUAAUCUAGUCAUCUUUUUGUGUUAGCAAUUAUGAAGAGGGCUGUAGAUGUGAAUGUUAUGCAUAUCAAUAGAUGGAACCAUUCAGAACAUGGGAAACAAAAGUAUCUGUAACUUUCAGAUGAUGACCUGAAGUCAUAAAUUGAAGCCAAUCUUCAACACAAAACGGCAUAAAUGCAACAAAACUAAGUUAUUUUUACUUACGUAGAACGUAUAAAAUAAAGAAACCGUGCAGCUAAUUAUUCCUGUUUGGGCAUGUUUAAUAAUUCAGUUUCAUGCUUUAGGUUUCAUAGAUAUCGAAAAUUUAACUUGUUUCCUGCAGGUGCAAUGCAUUUGACAAUAUAGUUUUUGUUUGGUUGAAUAGAGGAAAAUGAAUGUACCUAAAUGAUGUAAAUGUACCCUGCCAGCUUUGUACAAUUUUUAAUUCUUUCAAAUAUGCAUGCCCAAAUUACUUUAAUGUCCACCUUGUUAGUUCUGUGGAUUUGAAAAUAAUUAGAUAGUUUCUCACUUUACAUCCAACAUAAACUUGAGCUCAUCCAAAACUCUGGUAUCCUUAUCCUAAUUCAUACCAGGUCCAAUAUCCCUCAUUUCUGUACUCACUAAUCUAUGUUGGCUCCUACACUUCACAGUAGGUGUAAUUAAAAUUAUUUAAAAUUCUCAACCUUCUUUCUCAUCCCUCCAUCUGUUUGUCCUCCCGAUUAUUGAAAUUCCUCCCAUCCUCUAAAUCUCUGAGCUUCUUCAAGCAUUUUUCAUAUCCUUGAUUUUAAUCACUUCUCUGUUGGCAGCUGUGCCUUCCACGACCUAAGCCUUAAAUUCUGGAAUUUUUUUCUGAAAAAUCUCUCCUUUAACAUGCUCCUUGAAACUACCACUUUAAUUAUCCCAAUAUUUUUUCUUUGUUGUGAUUGGGCAAAUUUUGUUUCAUAAUCUCCUGUGAAGCACCUUGUAAGAUUUUACUAUGUUGAAGAAACUGUAUGUAAUUUGAAUGUAUAUGUGAAAUGCAUAUACAUUUAGAAUGAAAUUCUAUUAAAGCCACCUCUAAAUAGUUAA